rnacentral:rRNA from 1 species
UACGUAGGGGGCAAGCGUUGUCCGGAUUUAUUGGGCGUAAAGAGCGUGUAGGCGGUUUGGUAGGUCCGUUGUGAAAACUCGAGGCUCAACCUCGAGACGCCGAUGGAAACCAUCAGACUAGAGUCCGGAAGAGGAGAGUGGAAUUCCUGGUGUAGCGGUGAAAUGCGCAGAUAUCAGGAAGAACACCCGUGGCUAAGGCGGCUCUCUAGUACGGUACUGACGCUGAGGAGCGAAAGCGUGGGGAGCGAACAGG